UAUAUUCAUAUUUUUAAAUUCAUGUUGAGAGCGUUACUUAGCAAGAUGUCAGUAUGAGGGGAAAACGCAAAUAUACAAUUUUUAAGGAUUAGCAAAACUGUGAUCUAUAAUUGAAUCCUUGUCUCUAAAAAUUACUCCCUUUGUAGAUAUCCACUGAGAAAAGUGAAAGCCGUAAUAACCCGGAACUCUGAGCACUCCUGGCAUCGAUGUUGUGGGAUCAAACACCAUUUCUUACCACGAGCACCAGGGCUCAGGUAAGGGAAGUCUGUUAACAGCAAAGACUCAGCAUAGUGAGUAAAACAGCCCGGAAAUACAGCAGCAGGAAACCUGUUACCAGUUGUAUACUCAGUGUGCUUGGUGAUUUUAGGUAAGUGUCUUCUUUUUGGAGGUUCCCCUUUUCUCCAGCCUCAAAUGAGAGGAUUUUCCUUAACGUUUAUUCAUUAAUUUUGAAAGACAGAGAGAGAAACCAAGCACAUUCUGUGCUGUCAGCACAGACCCUGUCGCGGGGCUCGAUCUCGGGAACCGUGAGAUUGUGACCUGAGACGAAAUCAAGAAUCAGACGCCUAAUCGACUGAGCUGUCCAGGCGUCCCAAGACAGAAUUGUUGUAUGUUUGGUGUCUUAUGUACCUGUGAAAACUACAGAAAAUUGCUUGUGAAUAAUGCAUGUUCACCACUCUGUAAAUGGCAUACCAUUCUGUGAAUGCAUGUCUGCCCAUCUGUCUGUACACCUAGCUCACUGCUCCUCUCUGCUCCCAGCCACUGCGUUGAUUCAUCCACCACCAGCGACAGGCACUGCUGCGCAUACUGGCUGUCACCAGUGAGGCUGGCACCAGCACCUUAGGGUCUCUGCAUGCUGGGAGUCACGCUUCCUUGGGAACAUCAUCCUGGGGACAAUGGUUCCAGGAAUCACACAUACACAUUCUCAAUAAAUACCCAAUGCUAUGUUA